rnacentral:rRNA from 1 species
GGACCAAGGAGUCUAGCAUGUGCGCGAGUCAUUGGGACUCUAACGAAACCUAAAGGCGUAAUGAAAGUAAAGGCUCGUCUAGCACGGGCCGAGGGAAGAUGGGCGUUCCUAAGGGUUCGCCCCGCACUCCCAGGGCGUCUCAUUCUCAUUGCGAGAAGAGGCGCACCAAGAGCGUACACGCUGGGACCCGAAAGAUGGUGAACUAUGCCUGGUCAGGACGAAGUCAGGGGAAACCCUGAUGGAGGUCCGUAGCGAUUCUGACGUGCAAAUCGAUCGUCGGAACUGGGUAUAGGGGCGAAAGACUAAUCGAACCAUCUAGUAGCUGGUUCCCUCCGAAGUUUCCCUCAGGAUAGCUGGCGCUCGCUUCUCGCGAGUCUCAUUCGGUAAAGCGAAUGAUUAGAGGCAUUGGGGUCGAAACGGCCUCAACCUAUUCUCAAACUUUAAAUGGGUGAGAUCUCCGGCUUGCUUGAACUGUGAAGCCGCGAGAUAUCGGAUCAGAGUGCCAAGUGGGCCACUUUUGGUAAGCAGAACUGGCGCUGUGGGAUGAACCAAACGCUGAGUUAAAGCGCCUAAAUCGACGCUUAUGGGAUACCAUGAAAGGCGUUGGUAACUUAAGACAGCAGGACGGUGGCCAUGGAAGUCGGA